rnacentral:rRNA from 1 species
UACGUACUGUGCGAACGUUAUUCGGAAUCACUGGGCGUAAAGGGUGCGCAGGCGGCUUCGCAAGUCAGGCGUGAAAUCCCCGGGCUUAACCUGGGAAUGGCGCUUGAAACUACGGAGCUGGAGUAUGGCAGAGGGAGGUGGAAUUCCACGUGUAGCGGUGAAAUGCGUAGAGAUGUGGAGGAACACCGAUGGCGAAGGCAGCCUCCUGGGCCAAUACUGACGCUCAUGCACGAAAGCGUGGGGAGCAAACAGG